UUUGCUUCUGCCAAAAAUGUUAAAAUUGUAGAUAGUGGAUUAUUUAUAGAUGAACUACACCCAUACCUGGGUGCUUCUCCUGAUGGUUUGCUAGGAGAGGAUUCAAUCGUGGAGGUGAAAUGUCAGUAUAAACUGCAAAAGAUAAGAAAACAUUAUUAGAAGCAGCCCAGUCAUCAAAAAGUUAUCCAAGCUUUUGUCUUCAAUUGAAUGAUGCAGGAAAAUUACAACUCAAACGCAAUCAUAAUUAUUAUUAUCAGAUACAGGGACAAUUAAACAUAUCUAGGAAAAGUUUAUGUUUUUUUAUUGUCUAUGUGAAUGAUGAACAACCAUUACAUAUUGAAAUCAUUCAAAAAGAUGAGGUGUUUUGGAAUGAUGUGAUGCUGCCGAACUUGACUACCUUUUAUUUAGAUUGGAUGUUGCCUGAAAUAGUUAACAAGUUAUGAUUACAUUCUGUCUAUAUUAACUAUUACCUAUUAUAAUAACAGUUCUUACAAAGUCAUUAUUUAUUGCAUAACCAUGCUUGUACAUAAAGUUAACAAUAAACUUUCUAGUC